UAAAAUAAAAUAAAAUAAAAUAAUAAAAAUCUCAAUAAUGAUAUUACAGUACAAUAGAUGUCAGGAUAUGAAGCAACCAAGUACCCGAAAUUGAUACAAAAGGAACAAACAUACUUCGUAACUAGUACCAGCUGAACGCCACUUCCAACAAGCUAAUAAAUUGUACACAAAGUGUUUAAACUGCUACAAAAAUUCUGCUUCAGAGACUUCUUGCCUUGACAUUUUUGAAUGUGAUACAAUAGUAGUCUAUCUAGACAAGCAACCCAUGCGCCUCAAUUCUAUUCUACAAGGUAAACGUAUAGGCUGAGAACUGGUUCUGAGAUCUCUAUAUGUUUCCUGAAAGUCUUGUUACAGCCUCUAACAGAAAAGCAAUCAAUUUGGUACUUGACAACAAUUUUUUAACCAGCUUCAGCUCCAAACUUUUGUAUCAAGAAUUCGUCAAGCAGCCCCCAGUUAGGGGUACCAGAUUUACUCAAGUUAUCAGUUGGUAAUGAUCUAAUGCAUCCAAGAAUGUGUUUAACAUCUCGAUGAAGCCUUUCCUUCACUUGUGGAGUGCUGAUCUCUAACCGUGAAAAUGCUUCUGAAAUUUGUGAAUGGAAAAUUAUAACCACUUGUCUAAAAAUUGCUUGAACAUCUACCUCAUGUAAAGUUCGAGACAAAACACGUUGAAGGUAUCCAACUUCCUUUAUAAGAGAACGAGCAAACUGACUAGGCUGUGAGUCAGCAUCUUCAGGUCUAUUCCAGCUCUCAACAAUUUGAGGUAAUCCACGUAAAUGAACCAACAACCUUUCUCUCAUUAUCUGAACCAGUUUUGUAUGUAUUUCAUCUCGGUGAACCUUGUAAUCCUGUGCUACACGAUCAAUCUCAGAGAGCAGCAAUAGCUUUCUUAUCUCGGGUACUUUAAGGAAAAGAACUCGCCUGAUUUCAGGAAUAAUAGCAUGUGUAAAACUGAUGACUUGACUUGCAAGGGCCAAGUGUUUAGAAGUAAUAGACUUCAAUCCAGAUACCUGCAUGGCACCAGCUCCAAGAACAAGUUGACAAGUCCUCGUAUUGAAAAAUUUUAAUAUCUCCACAACACGAUGAACAACUUCCGAAGACAGUGCUGGCAAAAAAUUAUUCAUAUCAAUGUACUCUGACAACAUCUUCAGCAAUAUUAAGCCACAGUUUACCAUGUGAUAUCCAACACCUCCACAUAUAAGCGUUUGAGAGGCCAACUUUCCACGCUCCUUUGCAUUAGUGUUGUUGCUCUGAGCUGAAGUAACAUCUACUUUAUUGCUUUCCGUUGCUUCAGCUAAAGGAGCAUAUUUCACUUGCACGGUGUUUUGUAAAGAUAUCUCACCAGAGUCCCUCCUCCCAAGUGGAUGUUGAGCAUUUUGUGCUUCAUUGUCAGCCAGAAUUGAACCAUCAUUGCUUGUGACCUCUUCACCAUAUCUUGUUGUCAUGAUACCUUGAGCAUCAUCAAGGUCCCCAGAUAUCAAUGCCUCAGAAGAAAAGAACGAGGCAACAAUGGCCUGAAAUUCAUCAGGGACAUCAACUUCCACCCACGUCUCUUGAUCAAGCACUGCCUUAAUUUUUGUCAUUCGCAUUUCGUGCUGGAAAUCAACAAAUGCUUUGGCCUGUGAUUGUAGUGUUCCACGAAUACUAUACCCCAACCUUCCACCUAUCUUCUCAGUAGCAGUAAUAAACUCUUGUGUGAUGUUGUAUAUGCUUAAAAACUCCUGCAAUCUCAACUUAGGAUGUAGAAGAGCACGGACCCCAAGGAGCUUUGCCCAUCUUCCAUGAGCAGCAUCGCAAGCAGCAAAGACAGCUUCAGCAUUCUCUCGUAAUACAUCAGCCCUGAAGUUUCUAGACAUAUUUGAGGGACUCACUGCAUCAUUUGUUUUCCCCUGAGAUGAAGGAACCUUAACAGAACUUCUUUGAGGCAAAAAAGAAGGAACUGAACUGCCCUGAAUGUCACUCUCUUGUAAAGUUUCAGCAGCUGCAGCACCAACUGCAAUUGCAGCAGCAACUGAUUCAGCAGCAUAGUGUCCAUCCAAGUUGCACAUAAUCCACUCAAUUGCCUUUUUCACUUCAGCAGCCCGUACUAAAUGUGCCUGUACAAUCUUGAAAAUAGCACCUAAAAGUUGAACAAAACUUUCAGAUGACAAGCUCCUUAACUUGCUUGCAAGUGAUAAACCUCCACCAUCUGCAUCUACUGUUCGCUCUCCAGGUGUAAAAUCUGACUCUAAAGGCCGGGCCACAAGAAUGGGAAGCAGCUCUGCAACUGCAGUUUUAAUAGCAGUUUUCAUGUCGGCAGUAAGCGUAUCACGAUAUAUUCUCAACACAGAAGGAAGCUUAGCUGUUCUCAGCAACCCAACAAUGAGAGGGAGGAGUCGAUCACGAAAAUUAGAGGUCUCUUCUUCAUCUAAUUUAACUUCAUCAUCUUUUCCAUUUGGGGAAAUGGAAGCCCUGACUUUAGCUUUAGAUAAAAUAACCACAUCUGCAUCCCCAGAAUCAUGUAUUGCAGCUCGCAUAAAUUCUGCUGAGAGAAUGCAGUUUACAGAAUCUAUUGAAGCUCCCACAUGAUCCCGAAGGUGACGAAAACAAUGCAGACCAGUCAGCUCAUCUCCAUCCAGCAGAUGCUGUAAAUCAUCGGUAACAUCCAAAGCUCCAGCACAAUCUGCAGAUGCAACAAGCAAUUUGAGAGCUGAAAGAGCUUGAUUAACAUAUAAUAUAACCCUCAAUUUGUGCUGCAGAGCCAACAAAUUACUCCUGGUAGCAUUUAACUCCUGAAUAUGCCUUGCGGACUCAACCAGAUCCUUAUCCAAAAGCCUUAUAGUCUCCUUCAACUCCCGAAUCCGACUACAUCCUCCCACUAUCUUAACAUUGAGAUCCUGCAACUGCCCCUGCGCCUCGAAAAACGAAUUAGAUCGCAACGAAAUCUCCUUCACCAAGUGCAAUUCCACCACGUCCAAAUACUGCGACAACUUCUCUUGCAGCACUACAUUCUCCGACACGUUGGAGAAGGGGCAAGCAGCGCGGAAGGUGGGCCCAUCUUCCAAAGCGAAAUCUUCUUUAAAAUACAAUGCGGGUACCUCUCGCAAACACGCCACAAGUGCCUCGCCUUGGCCGCCGAUGCUCUCUAAGUCCAAAUUCUCCUCCUUGCUGGCGUGAUUCCUAACGUCCUCAAAUCGGUGAUAAGGCUCAGCAAUGGACGACAAGUAGCUUUGGAAAUCAGAUCUCGACAAGUCGGGUGAUGCCUUAUUGGGAAUCAACGGGGCGAACUCCGGUGGAGCGACGGAAGUGGAGGAAGACCACCAGCCGACCCAGGAUGCAUCAGAGCCGUAGACACCGGAUUUGCCGACGUGAGGAUUGUUGAGGAUUGAAGAGAGACUCUGGAUGCCAGCAUCCGAGAUAGAUUUAGACAAGGAGGAACUAGCUAGGAAACUGGCAGUGGAGGUGAUGGUGGAGAUGGAGGUAGGAGAAUCAACUGUAUACCUUCCCAAUUGGGAAGGCUGCGAAUCCAUACUCAAGGUUGGAAAACCAUCAAAGAGUGAAAUGAGCAAAUAAAACCCUAGGGAGAUCUGAGAAUUGAAUUUGACAGAUCUAAGAGAUAAGAGAAGAGAAAAUUAUUUGUGAAUUAUAUUAAUAAUAUAAUUAUUUAAAAAAAAUGAGAAGGAUGAUGCAGAUGUUGAGCUUUCCUUUGCAGGCUUCAAGUUAGAUCUGGUCGCUGAAUGUUAUGUGCUUUGGUGCUUUGCUUUAUAUGUAAAAGUAAAAAUAAAAUAAAAAAUCUAGUCUCUCUGUCUCUCUCUUUCUCUCCCUCUUUUCAAGAAACAAACAAAGCUGGUCUCUGGAUCUGCUACAUCUUGCAGGUACUGUCUCACUCUCUAUAUAUAUGUGAAAUUUGAGUUUAGUUUCCUGAAAGGAGCAAGAACUAAAUCUUUAUUAGUGUGUUGAUUAUCCUUUAAUACAAGAAGUUGGUUUCAUUUUGUGCAACAUCUUGUUCUUCUUGCGUAUCUGUCUUGUUGUGAGAUGAGGACUUUGGUACGGACAUUAAGGUUUUUAAUCAUUUCUUGAUUAAUCUUGCUAUCGGUUAAUAACCUAGGAGUUAAAGCUAGUUUGGAUUUUGAACAUCUUAUAUGACCAUGGAAACAGGAGUUGGGUUCUGUGUAGAAUCUCUAACUACUGUACAUUCUCAUAUGGGUUGUCAAUUGAAGUCUUAUGCAUUCUUUUUAGAUGUAGAAUCUGUACAACUGGAUAUGAAAUAUAUGUUGAAAAAAUGUCUCCAGAAAACAUCCAAAGCCCCAUUGCUGUUUGAAAUUUUCAUUCAUCUUGAUUUGAAGAAGAAGACGAAGAAAGGUUUUGGUAGGUCGUGUAUUCAUGUCAAUUUUAGUUUCAGCAUACAAUUUUGGAUAUGAAUUUGUCUUUCAGCAUUUUUUUUUUUUUAACGCGACGAGCAUAAUGAAAUUCAUUGGCUUUUCUUGUUUCUUUUAAGCACUUCAUUUCUUCAUCCUGAAUCUUGACCAGUUGGAUUAGAUUUCAUUCCACAGCAAUCUUUUGCAGAAACAUUAGUUCACUUUACUAAAGAGUCUCAUGGAAGAAAAGCAAUUGGAUUUUAAUCAGCCACUUCUAUCUGUGAGGAGGUUCUCAUCAACAGGAUCAAAUACAGAAGCUGAUAACAAAAGGAAAACUGAUAAUACUCGCCCUAAAGUGCCCCCUCUUCCUGUCUACAAAUCAGAAUUGAAAUCUGGCCCAGUGAGGAACCCGGGAACUGUUCCUUUUGUAUGGGAGAAAACCCCAGGAAGGCCCAAGUAUGAAAGCAAACCACAAACAGUAACCCUUGCACAGCCUCCUGUUGUCCCAAAGCUUCCACCAGGGCGGAUUUUGAAUGUUGAAAGGCAAGCUUUAGAUAAAAGUUCUGAAGGCACGGCUGCUGGUCAGUUGGAAGCAAGAAAUGGCCCUUCUGGUUCUUACAGUGUUGCAUCUUUGGAUAAAAAUGUAACUGAAGAAGAGAGCUCCAGAGAAGUGAAAGAGGGGACAUAUAUUUCUGGUUCAGAUGAUGAUAAUGAGGCCUAUGAAGAUGCACUUGAUACACUUUCCCGAAGUGAAUCUUUCUUCUUGAAUUGCAGUAUAAGCGGAGUAAGUGGGUUGGAUGGUCCAGAUAUGAAACCAUCUGGUACUUUCUCAACAGAUCCACAUACUCGAGAUUUCAUGAUGGGUCGAUUCCUGCCUGCAGCAAAAGCAAUGGCUUCAGAAACUCCUCAACAUUCUACUAAGAAGCUCCCUGUUGUACAAGAACAACCAAGAAAGAUAAAGAAAAUAGUAACUGUGGAAGAACAUAAUAAAUUCAAUCAAUGCAGAAGACUAAACAAUAUACCACAUUAUGACCAAGCUGAUGUACUGGAAGAAACUGAACAUGAGGAUGAUUAUUAUGAUGGACCAGAUAAUUCAUCCUUUAAAGUUUGUGGGUUGUUCCCUCGGUUAUGCUUGCAAAAUUCCUUUUGUCUUUUGAAUCCUGUACCAGGGAUGAGAAAACAGGCCCAGCUGCACAUUUCUUCAUCCCAUAUGAAAAAAGUAAAGUCUUCAUAUGCUGCUUAUUGCAACGAAACUGUCAGUGAGCAUGACAAGGACACCGUACGCAAGCAAAGAUCAUUGGGUGCAACAGGGAUGCAUGACGAUAAGAAUGAGCUGAAAAAUGAAUCAAAUAAGAUUGCUUGCAGAAGUGACUAUCAGAAAUUGGAUGGAUCAUCUCUGUAUAAGCGUUUGCAGGGUAAUGGCGCAUCACCUUACCAAGGAAAAAUUUCUCAAUCUGCUGUUCAUGAAGAAAAAAGAUAUUUAGUGAUUCCUGAUAAAUCUAAACAUUCUGGGAUGAGCGGCAUUAAUGCCGAUGGAAAUGGUGGCGAAAAUUUUCGGGAAUUAUUGGCCAAAGAAAGAAAUGAAUGGGAAUCAACUUCUGCUAGUCCCGUGGUUGAGAAAACUCUGUACAUAGAUUCUGUAUAUAUGCUAAAACCCCAAGUUUCAAAUUCAAGUUCUUCAGAUAUGAAAGGCGUAAUUGAUUAUGGAAGAGAAGCUGUCGAUGAUUCUUCACUUCAAGCUAUGAAGCAUUUUGAAGCUGCAAGUGAAAAGGGAAAUAUGGUAGCUGAAAGUCUGGAGUCUGCUGAUUCUUGUCCAUCAUCUGGCAGAUCAAUGCAUGAUGUGAAAAUGGUUGUGAUGGAUAAUUCCAGGCAUGAUCAAGACCUUUUAGGCACCUCCUUUCCCCCAGCAAGCCCAAAAGUGGAUAAGGAUGGGAAGAUUAAAUUGGAAAGACUAUUGGGUCAGAAAUCUGGCAACUUAGAAAGCUCUCAUGGUCUCUUCCAGGAUCCUAUCAAGAUGACAAGCACAGAAGUGGCUGAUGAUGGAAAAGUUGAUUUAGAAAGCAAACUUUGUACAAAAUUAAGUGAUCAAGAGACUUCUACUGGCUGCUAUUCUCUACUACCUCCUCCCCCACCUUUACCAAAAUCUCCAUCAGAGUCUUGGCUAAAGCGAACUUUACCUGCUGUUUCCUCAAAGCACAUACGUUCAAGGUCUAAUCUCGGUAUGCAUGCUUAUCCUAGAGUUCAGGCUUCCAAAACAGACUCCCCUGAUCCUAAGUGGGAAACAAUUGUCAAAACUUCUAAUGUACAACAUGGGCACUUGCGAUUUUCAGAGGUAAAUUCUUUAAGACCACCAACAUUAUUUCUCUCCAUUUAUUGUAGACUCAAAUUAUACUUACAACAUUCCUUAAUCUCUAUAUUAUCACUAAUCAGGAAUUGCUGACACCAAUACCUGAAGUUUAGACUGCAAGACUCAUCUUUAGUACAAUGGCUCAAGAAUAUACUUUGCAGGAGUGCACAUUGUUUAUUGGUUUGCAUAGUUGUGAAGAUUGAAGAAAUCUGCCAUCUUCUUUGUAUUUUCAAUCUCCAAAGUGCUUCAGUUUUUUAGAAUUGGUAUACACUGUAAUUGUAAAUCAAGAAAACCAGCCAAUUCUCUUCCUCUAAUAAGAAUCUGUGAUU
rnacentral:misc_RNA from 1 species